rnacentral:rRNA from 1 species
GCGAUUAGCAANAGUAGNGGGAGAAAAUAACAGAUCUUUAGUAUGCGAAGACAAGACAUGGUCAUUUGAAAUGGGGUCUUAGAUCAUGAAUGGAUUUCAAAAUGCAUUGCUAACACAACUGCACAUGUUUGUUUAUUGGAAAGAACAUCACAAAGGGUGACAAUCCCAUGUGUCAUGUGUAUGUUUUGUGUACAGUGUGCAUUAUAUGAAUCACAUUCAUUGACAAUUGAAUGCAAAUAGAAUGGUAAAUUUCAUUUAAUCAUAAAUAUGUUGUUGACAACUUAUAGCAAACAAAUACCAUGAGGGAAAUGUGAAAAGGAUUUUGAAAAGAAAAUUAAAAGAGCUUGCAAUUGCUGAACUGAUAAGCAAACAAAACAUACGUGUGUAUGCAAGAUUGUUGUAAUGCUUAGCAUCUUUUGCAAGGCUAUUGCAAUGAUUUUUUGUAUAGUGAUGCUACCUUUUUUUAGAAUUUGGAAUGUCUUUUUUUGAGUGUGAAUGGAAUUUUGUUUGUUAGCAAAGGAAUGCACUUUUAGAUUCAUUGUUUGAUUUGAUUUAAAAAUGUUUGUGACACAUGUCUUUGUGUUAAUUUCAUGAUUCAACCAAGGACAUUGUGUUUGAUCCAUGUCAGCAAUACAUGUUUUGUUUGACCCGUCUUGAAACACGGACCAAGGAGUUUAAUUUAUGUGCAAGAUCAUGAAACUGACAUUUGUAUAUCAAUGAAAAUAUUUUGUUGGGAUUUGUGCACCAACAACUGAUAAGUUGUGUGACGCGACGUUGAGUUUGAGCAUGUUGAUUAAAACCCGAAAGAUGGUAACUAUGCCNAACAGUAAGAAGUCAGAGGAAACCGU